UUCAGUCACUUGCCCAUUGCCAUGACAGAAGCAUUGAUUUGUAUCUUUUAGAGAUCCAUAAGUGCAGACUGGAGCUCCAGUGGCACGGGUGGAUGGAAGCACUUCUGUAAGAAUGGGUAAAUGCAAUCAAUAAUGCCACCUGACAUCCAGGAGAGAAGAAAUAUCUUUACAACAUCAAGCAAUGCAAUCUGAUCCAUGUUUGGGGUAUUGGGAGACUCAUCAAAUAUCUGUGCAACGAGCAGGAAUUGAUUUUCCAGUCCCUGCCCACCUGAUGUGAAUGUGUGUGUGCAUCACUGAGGAGCAUUCAUGCAAACUUUGUCUGCUGAGCUGGUGUAGCUCUUUCAAGAGACUCUUCUGAAGCCUGGUUUGAUUUGGAGGGGGAAAAGGGCUCAAGAUAACAGAAAACUUCCAGGUUCAUACUGACACUUCAGAGAACUUCCAGAAUUAACAGCAUCAUUUGUAUAAUCUGACAGGAAAAGAAUUUGUUUAUUGUGUAGAAAAAUUGCAUGCAGAAAAUACAU